rnacentral:rRNA from 1 species
GACGAACGCUGGCGGCGUGCUUAACACAUGCAAGUCGAGCGGAGCGGCGAACGGGUGAGUAAAGCGUGAGUAACUGCCCCCCUCUCUGGGAUAACAGUUGGAAACGGCUGCUAAUACCGGAUAGUGGGGGAUGACUCGCGUCCUAUCAGCUUGUUGGUGGGGUAGUGGCCUACCAAGGCGACGACGGGUUGCCGGCCUGAGGGGGCGACCAGCCACAUUGGGCUGAGGGACGGCCCAGACUGCUACGGGAGGCAGCGGUGGAGAAUAUUGCCCAAUAGGGGAAACCCUGAUGCAGCGACGCCGCGUGCGGGAUGACGUCCUGCGGGUUGUAAACCGCUUUCAGCCAUGACGCGGUAGUUGCAGAAGAAGCACCGGCUAACUACGUGCCAGCAGCCGCGGUAAUUC